ACUCCUACGGGAGGCAGCAGUGGGGAAUAUUGGACAAUGGGCGCAAGCCUGAUGCAGCGACGCCGCGUGAGGGAUGACGGCCUUCGGGUUGUAAACCUCUUUCAGUAGGGAAGAAGCGAGAGUGACGGUACCUGCAGAAGAAGCGCCGGCUAACUACGUGCCAGCAGCCGCGGUAAU
rnacentral:rRNA from 1 species